UUUAGAAAGCAGCUAUGCAGAUCACUCAAGGAAUGCUGAGACACAAAUUGGAAUUCAUACGCUGUGGGGAAAGUAACAACCUCCAAUGUUGAAAAUAAAUAAGAAGAUACUGAUAAUAAAAGCAGCCAUGCAGAUCACUCAAGGAAUGCUGAGACACCAAUUGGAAUUCAUAAGCUAUGGGGAAACUAACAACCUCCAAUGUUGAAAAUAAAUAAGAAGAUACUGUUAAUAAAAGCAGCCAUGCAGAUCACUCAAGGAAUGCUGAGACACAAAUUGGAAUUCAUACGCUGUGGGGAAAAUAACAACCUCCAAUGUUGAAAAUAAAUAAGAAGAUACUGAUAAUA